ACCCAGAGGUUGCAGUAAGUCUGGAUGCCACAUCAAACUGUUUGUGGUACUUCUAAACUUCGUGGAAGAGCCCUGUUUCAUAAAUCUGAGACAGCCUUGGUCUGAGGGAGCAAAGACAGAGAAUUCACGUGCUGCCCAGGCAUAGCCACAUAGCAGGUGGACAUCCCUGGACACUUUUCUGACAAAGCACGCAAUGUGGGGACAACACAGAAAUCCAAGAAAGGCAAGACCAAUUUCAAGGCACUAAAUAAGUGGACUGAGACAAGAAGUACACAGAUACUUCCCAGAACAAAAGAUUUUAUGUCAUAGACCCUCAUUGGAUUUUCCUGGAAGUACGGAGAGUUACAUCCAGAGAACUCUGAACAUUUUGGAAGGACCCCAAUCCUGCAAACAAUGAAUGGCAAUAAAUCCUGGGACUGGAAAGGGGCUUCUCAACCCCAAGGCAACCAUAAAGUCCUAUACAAAGAAAGAUACAGCAGUGUGAAAGAGGCCUGGAUGAAAAAACAAAGACAGAGCCAGUGAGCCAGAGCCAGAGCCAGAGGACAAGAGAGAAAGGCAGAGAAUGGAAAACACAGACAGAGAAGGCAGAUGCGUAGAGAGACAGAGAUUCAAUGAGAAAAUAAGGAAGGAAGAAAGAAAGAAAACAAAAACGUUCUCAGCACUACAACUUCUGCCUUGUUCUGUUCCAGAACAGUAUGAGCUCAGUACUUUUUCAGACUCUCAAUUUUCUACAACUAAUAAUUUGCUCUUUCAGUUAGUGGCAAAGGCUUAACGACAAAGGUUCAUCUUUAAUAUUAGAGAGGCACUUUUAAAAUUUAUGAUGCUAAGCCUUUUGUUCUGGAUAUGGUAUGUUGCACAGGUCUAGGGACUGGGAUUUCAGAUGUCUAUUCCGUACCCUUAUUCUUUUAUUUAUUAAAUCUUUUAGUGUGUA
rnacentral:lncRNA from 1 species